rnacentral:rRNA from 1 species
GGAGUCUGGGCCGUGUCUCAGUCCCAAUGUGGCCGUUCAACCUCUCAGUCCGGCUACUGAUCGUCGACUUGGUGGGCCGUUACCUCACCAACUAUCUAAUCAGACGCGAGCCCAUCUUUCAGCGAUAAAUCUUUGGUCACCCGAAGAUGCCUUCAAAUGACGUUAUGCGGUAUUAGCAGUCGUUUCCAACUGUUGUCCCCCUCUGAAAGGCAGGUUGCUCACGUGUUACUCACCCGUCCGCCACUAACUCGGGGAGCAAGCUCCCUUCGUCCGUUCGACUUGCAUGUGUUAGGCGCGCCGCCAGCGUUGUC